GUGAGGAAUAUUGGUCAAUGGACGGAAGUCUGAACCAGCCAUGCCGCGUGCAGGAAUAAGGUCCUAUGGAUUGUAAACUGCUUUUAUUCGGGAAUAAACCUCUUUACGUGUAGGGAGCUGAAGGUACCGAAGGAAUAAGCACCGGCUAACUCCGUGCCAGCAGCCGCGGUAAUACGGAGGGUGCAAGCGUUAUCCGGUAUCAUUGGGUUUAAAGGGUCCGCAGGCGGGCUAUCAAGUCAGAGGUGAAAUCCCACAGCGUAACUGUGGAACUGCCUUUGAAACUGAUGGUCUUGAAUUAAGUGGGCGUUGGCGGAAUAUGACAUGUAGCGGUGAAAUGCAUAGAUAUGUCAUGGAACACCGAAAGCGAAGGCAGCUAACGAUACUUAUAUUGACGCUCAUGGACGAAAGCGUGGGUAGCGAACAGGAUUAGAAACCCCAGUAGUCC
rnacentral:rRNA from 1 species